AUUCCAAGGAAAUAUUACUCCAAGCCUUGGAAACUGCCAAAACCUUCGAUUUCUAGAUGUAUCAAGAAAUAAACUAAUGGGCAGCAUACCCACACAAAUCGUUGGCCUUUCUUCUCUAUCAGGAACUCUUAACUUAUCACAGAACUCAUUGUCAGGUUCUUUACCCUCAGAAGUUGGCAACUUGAAAAGUGUUAAUGCAUUAGAUGUAUCAGAGAACAAAAUCUACGGGGAAAUUCCAAAGACAAUAGGUGAUUGUUCCAGGCUAGAAAUCCUUUACAUGCAGGGUAACUUACUGCAAGGAGCCAUUCCCUCAUCUUUUGAUUCCUUGAGAGGUCUCCAACGAAUAGAUUUGUCAAGAAACAACUUGUCAGGAAGUAUUCCAAAUGAGCUAGAAAAACUCAUCUUCUUGAAAUAUUUGAAUCUUUCUUUCAACAAUCUUGAGGGUGAGGUACCAAAAACAGGAGUCUUCAAAAAUGCAAGUGCGUUUUCGCUCGUUGGGAAUAGAAACCUUUGUGGAGGUAUUGCAGAACUGCAGCUGCCAGCAUGUCCUAUCAAAGAAGAAAAAGACAGAAGGCCUUCCAUUGUCAUAGUCCUCAGCACAACCAUCAGUUCUUUUCUCUUUGUCGUGAUAGUCACAUUCUUAUGUCUUUUCUAUUGGCAAAACUCAAAAAAGAGUCCAACUUUCUCAACUUUCACAGUCGAUGAACUUCCUCAAAUUUCAUAUGGAGAACUAUUGAAAGCAACUGACAGAUUCUCUUCAGAAAACUUAAUUGGACAGGGCAGUUUUGGCUCAGUAUAUAAAGGAAGACUUGAUCAGCAAUGGAAAUGUUUUGUUGCUAUAAAGGUACUCAACCUUCAGCAACAUGGAGCUUCCAAGAGCUUCAUUGCUGAGUGCAAUGCAUUGAAAAACAUCAGACACCGGAAUCUUGUUAAGAUCUUGACGUACUGCUCCAGCAUUGAUUCCAAAGGCAAUGAUUUCAAAGCUCUAGUGUUCAAUUUCAUGGAAAAUGGGAGCUUGGAAAUUUGGUUGCAUCCAGAAGAAAAUGGUAAUAAUCAAACAAGGAAAUUAGACUUUCUUCAGAGGCUAUAUAUUGCCAUCGAUGUUGCUUCCGCGUUGCAUUAUCUUCAUGACCAUUGUGAAACACCAAUUGUUCACUGCAAUUUGAAGCCAAGCAAUAUUCUUCUUGACAGUGACUUAACUGCUCAUGUUGGUGACUUCGGAUUAGCAAAGCUCCUUGCUGAAAGCACCAAUAGUCCUUCUCAAAGUCAGACUUUCUCAACUGGGAUAAAGGGAACAAUUGGCUACAUGCCUCCAGAAUAUGGAGUAGGCAGCAGCGUGACAACUUAUGGAGAUGUCUACAGCUUUGGAAUACUCUUGCUAGAGAUGUUCACAGGAAAGAGACCGACUCAUGAUGUGUUUACAGAUGGUUUAGAUCUCCACAACUUUGUAAAGGCUAAGCUCCCAAGACAAGUGAUGCAGGUCGUGGAUCCCACCUUACUCACUCCAGGAGAAGUGGGGGCAGCUACAGCAGCAGCAGCAGAAAAUAUGGACAAUGAUGGAAGUAUUGACGAUAGUGUACGAGAAUGUGUUGUAUCAGUCCUGCAAAUUGGACUGAAAUGCUCCACAGAAUUGCCAAAAGAUCGAAUGAGUAUGAAGGAUGCAACAAGCAAACUAAAUGACAUCAAGGACAUUUUCCUUCAUAGACAUCAGAAACUAGUUUAAUAUGGAUUUGAAUAUUGCUUUUCAGAGCAAUAAGGCCUAUCACUGAAGUCAGAAACAUAUGAAAUUUAGUGACUUUUCAUAGAAGAGGUAUAUGUAACGCUUGGACUGAGUCUGAAAUUUUUCAUUGCCAAAUCUGUAUUUUGUAGAGAGAACAAAAUAAGUAGUCAGUUAAGACAGUACAGAAUAUGCAGCAAGGCAACAACAUAGGAAGACGUGUGCAGCUUUGAAAUCAUCUUUCUGGAGAUUUUCAAAGGACAAGGACCAACUGAUGAAUUGUUCAUAGAUGGUUUAGAUCUCCACAGCAAAAGAAGUAGAUGCAGGUUCGGAUCCCAGGCUUAUUGCAGGAGAAGAAGUGGGGGCAACAGCCACAAUAACAGUAAGUUAGAAGCACAAUGAAAGUAAUGUUGAUAUUGAAAAUUUAAGGCUGCAGGGGUGCAAUGUGCAAAAAUGUAAUCUAUCAGUCCUCAUAAUAGAACUUGCAUGAUCUGCAGAACUACCAGGAGGAAGUUACAAGAACAACUAAAUAUCAUUAGAGACUUUAAAAUCAUAGAAAUUGAAAGUAAACUACGAAGCACAAUACUUUAGCAACAGAUUAUAGAAAGCAUAAGAGGGUAAAAUUCUUCAAUCAAGAGUCUGAAAAGAUCUCCAGGCUUUAAUGAAGCCAUUCAAUGGUGAAAGUCAGCAAUUCAAAAACUAUGCAAAUCUAAAAUGGUUUUUCUUUUGCUUAAUUGAUUGGCUCUGUUAACAAUUGCAGCAAUGGAGAGCAAGGGAAGAAAAUGAAAAAUUGAGGAAGAAGACUUCUCUAUUGAUCUGGUAUUCUCUUACUUGAGAAGUUACAAAAGGAAGCUUUUAUAGAAAGUUUUUACAGGUCAAA